rnacentral:rRNA from 1 species
CAGUAGCCACGGUAAUACAGAGGGUGCGAGCGUUAAUCGGAUUUACUGGGCGUAAAGCGUGCGUAGGCGGCUUUUUAAGUCGGAUGUGAAAUCCCUGAGCUUAACUUAGGAAUUGCAUUCGAUAUUGGGAAGCUAGAGUAUGGGAGAGGAUGGUAGAAUUCCAGGUGUAGCGGUGAAAUGCGUAGAGAUCUGGAGGAAUACCGAUGGCGAAGGCAGCCAUCUGGCCUAAUACUGACGCUGAGGUACGAAAGCAUGGGGAGCAAACAGGAUUAGAUACCCCAGUAGUCCCUGUCUCUUAUAU